rnacentral:rRNA from 1 species
CACGGGGGGAGCAAGCGUUGUUCGGAAUCACUGGGCGUAAAGGGCGUGUAGGCGGUCAAGUAAGUGGAAUGUGAAAGCCCCCGGCUUACCCGGGGAUCUGCAUCCCAAACUGCUUGGCUUGAGUACGGGGGAGGAGUAGGGGAAUUCCUGGUGUGAGCGGUGAAAUGCGUAGAUAUCGGGAGGAACACCUGUGGCGAAGG